rnacentral:rRNA from 1 species
AGCACGAUGUAGCAAUACAUUGGUGGCGACCGGCGGACGGGUGCGUAACACGUAUGCAACUUGCCCUAUACUGGGAGAUAGCCCGAAGAAAUUCGGAUUAAUAUCCCAUAACAUCAGGAUAAGCAUUUAUCUUGGUUCAAAGCUCCGGCGGUAUAGGAUGGGCAUGCGGUCGAUUAGCUUGUUGGUGAGGUAAUGGCUCACCAAGGCAACGAUCGAUAGGGGGCCUGAGAGGGUGAUCCCCCACACUGGUACUGAGACACGGACCAGACUCCUACGGGAGGCAGCAGUAAGGAAUAUUGGUCAAUGGGCGCAAGCCUGAACCAGCCACGCCGCGUGAAGGAAGACGGCCCUAUGGGUUGUAAACUUCUUUUCUACGGGAAUAAACC